ensembl:snRNA U4 U4 spliceosomal RNA
ACUCUUGCGCAGUGGCAGUAUCAUAGCCUAUGAGGUUCAACUGAGGCGUGAUUAUUGCUAAUUGAAAACUUUACCCAUUACCCCGCCAUGACGACUUGAAAUUUACAGGGUUAUCCAAAGAGA